UUGCUAACACGUUUUCUGUACUGUUUUUAUUAGGCUCAUCGCCUUUGCCCUUCCUGCUUUUAACCGCUACAGUCAAAGUUACAGUAAUUCCAAAGCACAUGUGGAGUGAUGGCAAGGAAAUGUGAGCCUACAGAGCCCGUCCCGACCUACUCUGCUGGACACCGGGGCAAAGGGAAAGGAGUGAUGGCACCACCCUCCGCUCCUCAGAGAGUGAUAGCAGCUGCGGUUUCAGCUUUACUGGACAGCUCAGAAUGGCCCCAGAGGACGCACGUGUGUGCAGCUGGAGGGACAGUGUGCUUCUUCAGCGCUCCUCCGGGCCGCCUGACAGCAGAGUGAUGCACAGAGAGGUGAAGAGGGAGAGAGCUUGUUG
rnacentral:lncRNA from 1 species